UACGGAGGGUGCAAGCGUUAUCCGGAUUCACUGGGUUUAAAGGGUGCGUAGGUGGGUUGGUAAGUCAGUGGUGAAAUCUCCGAGCUUAACUUGGAAACUGCCAUUGAUACUAUCAGUCUUGAAUAUUGUGGAGGUUAGCGGAAUAUGUCAUGUAGCGGUGAAAUGCUUAGAUAUGACAUAGAACACCAAUUGCGAAGGCAGCUGGCGUACACAUAUAUUGACACUGAGGCACGAAAGCGUGGGGAUCAAACAGG
rnacentral:rRNA from 1 species